rnacentral:ncRNA from 1 species
UCUAAGUCAGAAUCCGGGCUAGACCGACGCAUGCGCUCGUCGCCCGUUUGCCGACCCGCAGUAGGGGCCAUUUGGCCCCCAAGGGCACGUGUCGUUGGCUAAGCCGUCGUGGCGGAAGGGUCACGGUGGCCGCCUUGAAUUACAAUUCCGAUCGAGCGGCGAGCUGAAUCCUUUGCAGACGACUUAAAAUACGCGACGGGGUAUUGUAAGGGGUAGAGUGGCCUUGCUGCCACGAUCCUCUGAGAUUCAGCCCUUUGUCGCUCCGAUUCGU